AUAAACGCUGGCGGCGCACAUAAGCCCUGCAAGGUGAACGGACUUAAUCGAAAUAUUUAUAUUUUGAAGCGGUGAGUGGCGGACUGGUGAGUAACGCGUAAGGAACCUGCCUAGUAGAGGGGAAUAAAAGUGAGAAAUAAUUGCUAAUACCGCAUAUGCCAUAGAUAUCACAUGAUAACAGUGGGAAAGGAGAAAUCCGCUAAUAGAUGGCCUUGCGUCUGAUUAGAUAGUGGGUGGGGUAACGGCCUACCAAGUCGACGAUCAGUAGCCGGACUGAGGGGUUGCACGGCCGCAUUGUGACUGAGACACGGCCCAGGCUCCUUCGGGAGGCAGCGGUCGGGAAUAUUGCGCAAGGGAGGAAACUCUGACGCAGUGACGCCUCGUAUAGGAAGAAGGUUUUCGGAUUGUAAACUAUUGUCGUUAGGGAAGAGAAAGGACAGUACCUAAGGAGGAAGCUCCGGCUAACUACGUG
rnacentral:rRNA from 1 species